rfam:Trichoderma harzianum strain T6776 Scaffolds0011.1, whole genome shotgun sequence.
GGCCGCGUGGCCUAAUGGCUAAGGCGCUAGAUUUCGGUUGGUAAACGCCACCUCUAGAGAUUCCAGGUUCGACUCCUGGCGUGGUCG